rnacentral:rRNA from 1 species
AUUGAACGCUGGCGGCAUGCCUUACACAUGCAAGUCGAACGGUAACAGGUCUUCGGAUGCUGACGAGUGGCGAACGGGUGAGUAAUACAUCGGAACGUGCCCGAUCGUGGGGGAUAACGCAGCGAAAGCUGUGCUAAUACCGCAUACGAUCUACGGAUGAAAUCGGGGGAUCUUCGGACCUCGCGCGGACGGAGCGGACGAUGGCAGAUUAGGUAGUUGGGGAGGUAAAGGCUCACCAAGCCGACGAUCUGUAGCUGGUCUGAGAGGACGACCAGCCACACUGGGACUGAGACACGGCCCAGACUCCUACGGGAGGCAGCAGUGGGGAAUUUUGGACAAUGGGCGCAAGCCUGAUCCAGCCAUGCCGCGUGCAGGAUGAAGGCCUUCGGGUUGUAAACUGCUUUUGUACGGAACGAAAAGGUUCUUUCUAAUAAAGAGAGCUCAUGACGGUACCGUAAGAAUAAGCACCGGCUAACUACGUGCCAGCCGCCGCCGUAAUAA